UAGGGAAUAUUGCGCAAUGGGGGAAACCCUGACGCAGCAACUCCACGUGUGGGAUGAAGCAUUUCGGUGUGUAAACCACUGUCGAGAGGGAAUAAUGUUUCGCUUCGGCGGAAUUGAAUGUACCUCUAAAGGAAGCACCGGCAAACUUCGUGCCAGCAGCCGCGGUAAUACGAGGGGUGCAAGCGUUGUUCGGAAUCACUGGGCGUAAAGGGAGCGUAGGCGGAAUGACAAGCAUGCUGUAUAAUCCCGG
rnacentral:rRNA from 1 species